CCAUUAGGCAGCUUCUCCCUUUCCUCCUCCCUCUUGAUUUUUCUAACCACCUCAAAUAAUAAAAAUAACAAUAACCAUAAGAAAUGAAUAGAAUAAUAAAUAACAACCCUUACCAACGUACUUUCAAAUUUAAAGUUCCGUAAAACCUCUGUCGUAGUUCCGAAUUAAAUUUUUGCAUGCGUCUACGCAUUCGCACUGCUAAGUACUUUUGAAAUACGGUAAGGUAUUAGUUCAUACGUGUCAUGAACUAGUGAUCAACGAAAAUCAAUACCCUCGCCUCUAGGGUAUUCUCGUGAAUUCACAUUUUUAGAUUUAUAAAAUCGUAAAAUUAGGGACGGGUUGUCACAGUUCAUCUUCCU
rnacentral:lncRNA from 1 species